CUAGACUUCAAAUACAUUGUUAAAUUUGUAUUAUACAAUUGAAUCACUAUAAUUGGUAUAUAUAUAAAGAAUAUUAAAUGAUAAGGUUUGUGCAAUUUUUAUUUCUUAAAUUAUAUAGUUAUAAAUAUACAGUAGUUUUUAUUGAAACUUGGCAGUCACUAAAGUGAGACCCAUUAAGAAAGAAAUGGGGUGCAAGUUAGGAACUCUUGCUCCGAAUCUGACCUCUGUAUGAUGUAAAUUGUAAUCAGCAGCAGUGAAGAUUAUGAGCAGAGGUAUGCAAAUCUAUGUGCACCCUUAGGUUGGGUCUGCCAAGAAACUAUGGAACAAGUAACUCUGAAGAAGGAGUUGAAUCCGACAAGUGUGUAUGUCUAACUUGCAGUGAAUUCUUGGGAUGGCAAUAGGAGUCACCUAGAAAGAGAAGUGACGGAGGAUAGCUUGCAGAUGAGGGACCAUUAUGAUGACUACAAUGAAGAAUAUGAUAGAGGGAAGGUAAAGAAAGUUAAGAAAUGGCGAGGAAAUUCUAAAAGAAUAUAUCCUUACAAUCCAUUCCAAAAAGCUUGGGAUUCAAAAAAAUAUAAAAAAUAUGAGCACCAAUCAUUUAGGCAAAAUAAACAUUUUCAGAACAGAAAGUAUUUCAACAAUCAUUAUCAUCAGUGGAAUUAUUCAAAAUGAUGCAACUAUAUUGGGACAAAAUUCAAGAUUAAAUUAAUGCAAUGUGUAUGGAUGUGUUUGUGUUUGUUCAUUUUUGUCUAUUGUUAUGUGAAGAUACCUAAAAGAUGUACAUAUUGGGUUGCUUGAGUAUGAUGCAAAUUCUAAAUAUACUUUUAGAUAAAGAACUAUAAAAAUAGGAAAAAAUGUAUUAUUGGCAUUUUGUAGUUAUUGCUCAUUUACAAGGAAAUAUAUUGGACAUGAUUCAAACUGAAUGUGCCUCUGCAUCAUGUGACAAAAUUUUGUAUAUGAUUCUAGGAAUGGUGAAGGAUUUUAGAGCAGAAAGCAUAAUUUUAUAUAUACAGUAUAUAUAUAAAUUCAGCAGAACAAAUUAUGGUGAAAAA
rnacentral:lncRNA from 1 species